GCCAUUUCUGUAACAGUAAUAUAUUGAUUUUUUUUAAAUUUUAAAUAAUAUAAGUCAAAGACUAAAUAUUACGUUGAUUAAUACAUACUUUGAAUAUUCCUUUGAAAUGCCAACGGCGGCGCGAUGCUUUGUACGCCAGCGGUCCUCCAAAUCGAUAUAAGUGGAACCAAUAUAAUCAUCGGAAUAAUUAAAAUCGCAGGUCCAAAAAACGAUGAAAAUAAAAUAACUAUAAUGCAAAAGAGGAUAUUCUGACAAGUCUUUAAAGAACCCUGAUGCUCAAAAAGUCCAUUUAUAUUGCAAUGAAUUCAAUCCUCAAAAGCAUAUUUUGGACCCAGAUCGUUAUGACAAAAGGUGAUAUGAUGAAACUGGCUUUGAAUAUGACUUCAGAAGGGGUUGAGGACCUUUAAGUCCGCCCUACUAGACGAACGGUUUAUUUUUUUAGAGAUCGUGCAAUAAACCUUUGUUAUAAAUAUAAUUUGUGACAGCUUAAGGGCCAUGUUUAAAGACAUU